UGUUUAAGUUUUUAUUUUUAUUUUUAUAUAUAUGUGUGUUAGUGGAGGGACCCACAAUUUUGUUUUAAAGUGGUCAUUAAGACCACAUUUGUGUUUUUGUUUUCUGCAUCUCACUCUCUCUUUCCCAGCUGCCUGCUUCCACCUUCCUCUCUGUUUUCUUUUUCCUUUUUCCACUUCAAGGUUUCAAUCCUUGAUUGCUCCCUCAUUUCUUUGUGUUUUUAAGUAUCGUUUGAGGCAAAACAAAGCCCGCGACGAGCUCUACGCGCUCAUACAAGCAAUUUCAGUUUUUGGUCUUCCUAGGGGCUUCGAAUUUAGAGACCCAAUUUCUAGGGUUUUGCCUAUUUUGAGGUCUUGGAAAAGAACCGAUGAACGACAACCCACCUCAAGCUUGAGCGAUACUAGAAGCUCACUUUUGUGUCUUUUGUAUAUUUCCCAUUAUUUUUGCAAAGCACUAAAAGUAUAAAGGUAUAUAUGUAUAUUUUGCAAAACUUUGUCAUGUAACCUUGUUGAUGAAUGGGAAGGAUAAUUUUAGUUAAAGUAAUUAUCGGUGUUAUUUGAUUGU